UCUUCCAUGUGGUCUGACCGCACUGUUGGAAGACUUCUGAGAUCUCUGCAUGCUCCUGAACAUAUUGUGGUGGUGCCUUUGUGGCUUCCAGCCACUGGUACCCACUGAUGGAGGUCUGAGGUCACAGAAAUCUUGCAAUAGGGUGUCAGAUCUGUCACCAGGCUUGAGAUGUUGCUUUAAGGAGACAAAUAGGUGGGGGUUUAUGGGUUUUGAGAAUGUAAUCCUCCUCCUGUUUUCUGGCUGUUGGAAACUCUGCAGAUGACAGUCAAAAGAAUAUAAACUCAGCCAAGUUCCUGAGAAGAAUUCCUUGGGCCCUUGGCCCCUGAAGGCUCUGCUAUUACUGGAGGGCUCAAGAGAAGGACACUUAUGGCAAGACUACCAUGAAGGCCUGAAAAACUUUCUUUCCUUUAGAGACAGCAGGUCUCUGUCUGCAGUCUGGCCAAUUCCAGUGGAACAAAUUAGAAGGUUUCUGGUCGCCAUGGAGUUCCAGGAUCUGCCUCCCACAAAAAUAAUCACGUAUAUGGAAGGCCUGUCCUUCAUCUCCAGAAUGGUAGAUCAUCCUGCUCCUCUUUCAGAUCCUCUUGUCUGUUACAUGAUAUCAAGGCUGAAACGGAGGACUAGCCAUUCAAAUGUUGAAUACUCUCCUGUAACAAUUGAAGUGUUAAGAUCUCUCCUGGGAACUCUGGAGUCUGUGUGUAGCUGUCCUUAUGAGUGUAUAUUGUUCCGUGCCAUUUUUACUGUAGCUUUUUUUGGUGUACUCCAUAUAGAAGAGAUGGUGGUAAAUCGCCAAAAUAUAGCACAGCCAGACCUCCUGUACCUGAGUGACCUCCAGAUGACAGAAGGAAGUGCAACCCUUUUUCUGCAUCCAUCUCAUGUGGGCCAACAGAGAUGCUUGAUCCGACUGAGCCUACGUAGAGAGACGUGGGUCUGUCCUGUUGAAGCUCUCCAUAUCUACGUGAGAGCACGGCCCCCAGGAGAGGGCCCCCUCUUUGUGCACUCAGACAGUAGGGCUGUCACAAGGAGGGAGUUCCUCACUGUCUUCCGCUCUGGUCUCAGUUUUGCUGGACUUCCUCCAAACCAGUAUGCAGUGCAUUCCUUCUGGAUGGGGAACUCUAACAGGAGAAUCUCACGGGUAAGCCCAGAACGUGAUUAAUAGAAUGGCAAGGUGGUGGUGGAGAUUCUGAAAGACACAUACUUCUGUCUCUGUUGCACUUUCACAGUAGAAGGUAUCUUCUGCAAUGCACAAAUUUUAUACUUUAUAUAGGCUAAAUUUUCACUGCUCUGUAAAGCUAGAGAGAAUGGGAGGAACAAGUGGAAGGUGACUUCACACCUGGGGUGGUUUUGAGAAUGAAGUGUCAUGGUUUUAAAAGUGGGACUUGUGGGGCACAUGGUAUUCAGCAUGUUUGUUCUAAUUGCACUUUGACCUUGUGUAAUCUUACAUUAAAUGGUGUUUUCUUUCAAGAA